CAAGGAUGGAAGCUGGUGGAUUGAUGAAUGGAGACAUCCAUCUAUGUUUGUAUCACACAUAUCUAUCUCUUACACACACACAAACACACAUACACACUCUCACACGUUGUUCACUUUUAUAACACAGCCCAAACUGACAGCUGUUUACCAACAACAGUCCUUGAGCCUGAUUACAAAUCUUUGGUCUUUUUCCAUACAGUAGUCACUGACAUAGAGCCUAUUGGUACACCAGGAGGACUUAACUCUCAUCCUAAUUUAGAAAGAAUUACAAUACUUUAAUUGUCUCAAGUAGGUUUGAUUACAUGACUGGCUCCAAUUCUUCUGGCCUGUCUGCUUUCAUUCCUUUGCCAGAGCCUGGUUUUGGGCUGCUUGACUUUGAUCUUAGCCAUGGUAAUGACAGCAUGGUAGUUCCCAGACUAAGAAUGAAUGCAGAUGUGGAGAAGUUGCACAGCUGGCUGGUCCAGGGAGGAGGCAAGGUGCGUGGAACACAGCUUUCUGGGCUAUCCCUAAAGCCCAGUAGAGUCCAGCUAGUCCCUCAUCAACUCACCGAUAUGUGAGCAACGAGAUCUGACUAGGGUUCAGCAGGGGUUGUAACACAGCAAUAGCAAGCUUACCAGUGCCCAAACCAGAAUUGUCCACAUGGUAGGGGUCUUGUCCAGUCCUUCAACCAUAAGCCAUCAAAGAAAAAGGAGAGGCAAUAAGGGGGGUGAGGUUUGACAUUGGAUAGAUUUGCUAGAUUUUAAUUGUUCUUCCCAAGAUUUUCACUAAGUUCUAAUGAAAAAUAGACCACAUGGAGAGGAUUAUUUCCUAUAGGUUGAUUACA